rnacentral:lncRNA from 1 species
UCCCAACACUGACUACAUGGAAAACUAUCCGGUUGCAGCGAGGUGGAAGCUUCAGAAGGGUCACGGGGAGAGGGUCACGUAUCGGUCACUGCUUGAUCGUAUAUAGUUUGAUGACGUAUGCUUGAGGCCUUAUGAAGAGCACAGGGAGAUCCAGGACUUUGAGGAGGUUUUUUGGUAUUCUGGCUGGAUUAUGUGCGGUGUC